rnacentral:rRNA from 1 species
CAUUACUGAAGACACUAGAGUUUUGAGACUGCGUCUUCAAUGGCGCGUGCUCGACUCUUAUUCUUCUAUCCACACACCUUUGUGCACCAAUGGGACGAAAGUCCCCAUUUUCCACAUAAAAACCAAGUUAUAUGCAUGUAUUUUGUCUACUCUAAGGAGUAAGUACAACUUUCAACAACGGAUCUCUUGGCUUUCGCAUCGAUGAAGAACGCAGCGAAUGUGCGAGACGUAAUGUGAAUUGCAGAAUUCAGUGAAUCAUCGAAUCUUUGAACGCAUCUUGCGCUCCUUGGUAUUCCGAGGAGCAUGCCUGUUUGAGUGUCGUGAAAUACUCUCAGUUUCAAUUUUAUUAUUGAAACUGGAUUUGAAUGCUUGUCGGCCUCGUCGACUCGUUCUAAAUGCAUUAGCGGUCUGCCCUUGAUCACAACACAGUGUGAUAAAUUAAAAAAACAGCAUUGUUAUUGUUCAAGUGGCUUGGAUGGCUUCUAACCGUCCUGAAAAGGGACAAUACGAUCUCAUUUGACCUCAAAUCAGGUAGGACUACCCGCUGAACUUAAGCAUAUCAAUA